GUUGGGAGCUCUCCCAUAUGGUCGACCUGCAGGCGGCCGCGAAUUCACUAGUGAUUAGAGUUUGAUCAUGGCUCAGAUUGAACGCUGGCGGCAGGCCUAACACAUGCAAGUCGAGCGGUAGAGAGAAGCUUGCUUCUCUUGAGAGCGGCGGACGGGUGAGUAAUGCCUAGGAAUCUGCCUGGUAGUGGGGGAUAACGUUCGGAAACGGACGCUAAUACCGCAUACGUCCUACGGGAGAAAGCAGGGGACCUUCGGGCCUUGCGCUAUCAGAUGAGCCUAGGUCGGAUUAGCUAGUUGGUGGGGUAAUGGCUCACCAAGGCGACGAUCCGUAACUGGUCUGAGAGGAUGAUCAGUCACACUGGAACUGAGACACGGUCCAGACUCCUACGGGAGGCAGCAGUGGGGAAUAUUGGACAAUGGGCGAAAGCCUGAUCCAGCCAUGCCGCGUGUGUGAAGAAGGUCUUCGGAUUGUAAAGCACUUUAAGUUGGGAGGAAGGGCAGUAAAUUAAUACUUUGCUGUUUUGACGUUACCGACAGAAUAAGCACCGGCUAACUCUGUGCCAGCAGCCGCGGUAAUAGAAUCGAAUUCCCGCGGCCGCC
rnacentral:rRNA from 1 species